AAGUGGUCAAAUGUAAAAAAUGUUAUAUUUGGGAUAACAAUUUCUUAGUAAAGUACUGAUGCUAGUACUAUUUUGAGUCCCCAUCCGGGACUCGAACCCACACUGCCUCACUCACCUAAUCGCCAUCACACAGUCAGCGAUCUAACCCACUCAGCCACCAAGACUUCCACAAAAAUGAAAGUCUGAAAACUGGUAGUCUAGAUCACGUACUUUGUGUACCCCUCUGACAAGUGUAAAUUGGCAAAGCUACGAACACACAUUGCCAUUUUAGAAAGUGGUCAAAUGUAGCAAAUGUUAUAUUUGGGAAAACACUUUCUUUGUAAAGUACAGAUUCUAGUACAUUUACUAUAUUGGGUUCAGUCCCAUCCGGGAUCCGGGAAUAGAAUCUGUAUUUUACUAAGAAAGUGUUAUCCAAAAUAUAACAUUGGUUACAUCCUAUUCCCAAUCAUAGGAUCUGACAAGGACUGCAGUACUUGUUGGCGACUCUUUGGUAAAGUGUCUAUGACGUCACACGGAGAAAGGAGGCACAGUGACGAGAUCUCUUUCGGGAACCAAGGUGGCUGACGUUCCCGAUCUCUUCUGUGACAUUGAGAGGUUUAAGAGCUGUGAUAAUGCUUUCCGGAAUCACCCGAGAGAUCGGAACCGAUGGCGCCGGGGCCUUCAAACCACGAUGCCCUGAACAAGAAAGCCUACGCCCUAAACCUAGAACUAAAACAUCUUUCUGCAGCGGAUGGACCAACUUACAUAGGACAUCCUGGCUUCAUGUCUUCCGGCACAGUGAGACAGGUCUUCAUCGUCCAUGAUGGGCUACAUCUACGACCAGCAGGACAAAACAGCUGGCAUCAGACCUGAUCUGUGAUCUUUCUGUGGUAUACAAAUGGAGCACUGUCACGUCUUGCUUGGAAAGGCCAUCACCAUUGAAGAGAAGGGACUUUGUGCAUAGAAUACAGACCACAACUGAUGGACGAGAAAUAAUUGAUCAGAAGACACAGAGUAAAGUAUUACCCAUUGAAAAGAACUUUUGGAGGAUUUCAACAGAUAUUUGUCUUACUUUAGUCAACUUUGUGCAUUCUGGAUGUGCUACAUUGAUAUGGUCACUGGCAUUAUGCUCGGCUAUGUCGAGAAGGUGACUGGGAAAUACAUGUCCUCCAUUCGCCAAAUGAUUAUUUUGUGUUUCUCCUACAAGAUAAAUGAUGGAAGAUAGCUUACAGCAUCCUUGGUCGAAAUGUCACAACUACCAGCUUUGCAUCCAGAUGACUAUGAUCAAUUUCAAGAGGGGUGAUUUGCUGUGCAGUUAGGAGAAAAGAACCUGGUAGAAUCAAUGUGGACCAAACACCGGACAAGGCUGUGUCUCAGUGAGAGCUUUUGUAGGCCUGGGAAACAAAGAUAGGGCUGGAUGAUACACCAGCUGUGAGAUACUUAUCAUCAUACCUUACUCAUGAUACGAUAUGAAUGUGCUUUUUCAAAGACGGGAUGGCCAAAUACCUGCCAAACUGAAGAUUUACAGUUGGCAGCGAUUCUAAGCACGACCAUCUAAGCUGACAAACUAAAUCAUGUGGCGAUUGAAUACUGCCAAGCCACUAAGCUAAUCAAACUCUAUACCAACAAACUCUAUACCAACUGAGUUGAUAAUAUUCGAUAUUCAGUCGAGUGUGUGCCAGUGUCAAUUUUGGCACAAUGGAUGAAGAUAUUUAUGUUUUAACUUAUAACUAGUGUUUGUUUGGUGUAACAGUUAUAAAGCAAACAAUAAAGUUAAGAAUCAAUAUUUCUAACUUAGUGUGUGUGACAGUGAUCAUUACUUGUAUCAGGAAGCAGAAGAUUGUAAUCCACUGAUUCACCAGUGUAUCGUCCCACCACUAGAAACCAUCUGCAUUGAAGUUGCUCAAGACACCUUUUUUUGUUCUUCUUUUAUUUUGACAUCAUUUAUUCAUGUUAAUCGUCCACGAUUUUAAUCAAGACACCUACCUCCGUUUC